rnacentral:rRNA from 1 species
CUUAAUUGGGCGUUAAGUUGCAGGGUAUAGACCCGAAACCCGGUGAUCUAGCCAUGGGCAGGUUGAAGGUUGGGUAACACUAACUGGAGGACCGAACCGACUAAUGUUGAAAAAUUAGCGGAUGACCUGUGGCUGGGGGUGAAAGGCCAAUCAAACCGGGAGAUAGCUGGUUCUCCCCGAAAGCUAUUUAGGUAGCGCCUCGUGAAUUCAUCUCCGGGGGUAGAGCACUGUUUCGGCUAGGGGGCCAUCCCGGCUUACCAACCCGAUGCAAACUGCGAAUACCGGAGAAUGUUAUCACGGGAGACACACGGCGGGUGCUAACGUCCGUCGUGAAGAGGGAAACAACCCAGACCGCCAGCUAAGGUCCCAAAGUCAUGGUUAAGUGGGAAACGAUGUGGGAAGGCCCAGACAGCCAGGAUGUUGGCUUAGAAGCAGCCAUCAUUUAAAGAAAGCGUAAUAGCUCACUGGUCGAGUCGGCCUGCGCGGAAGAUGUAACGGGGCUAAACCAUGCACCGAAGCUGCGGCAGCGAACGUAUCACCCAAGACAACUUUACGGAGUUGACGAUUGACGGAGCGAAGCGACGUCAAAGCGUUCAUUAAAGUCGAGUUGGCUUAGGGAUACGUUCGUUGGGUAGGGGAGCGUUCUGUAAGCCUGUGAAGGUGUGUCGUGAGGCAUGCUGGAGGUAUCAGAAGUGCGAAUGCUGACAUAAGUAACGAUAAAGCGGGUGAAAAGCCCGCUCGCCGGAAGACCAAGGGUUCCUGUCCAACGUUAAUCGGGGCAGGGUGAGUCGACCCCUAAGGCGAGGCCGAAAGGCGUAGUCGAUGGGAAACGGGUUAAUAUUCCCGUACUUGGUGUUACUGCGAAGGGGGGACGGAGAAGGCUAUGUUGGCCGGGCGACGGUUGUCCCGGUUUAAGCGUGUAGGUGUGUGUUCCAGGUAAAUCCGGUUCACUUUAACACUGAGGCGUGACGACGAGGCACUACGGUGCUGAAGCAACAAAUGCCCUGCUUCCAGGAAAAGCCUCUAAGCAUCAGGUAACACGAAAUCGUACCCCAAACCGACACAGGUGGUCAGGUAGAGAAUACCAAGGCGCUUGAGAGAACUCGGGUGAAGGAACUAGGCAAAAUGGUGCCGUAACUUCGGGAGAAGGCACGCUGACACGUAGGUGAAGUGAUUUACUCAUGGAGCUGAAGUCAGUCGAAGAUACCAGCUGGCUGCAACUGUUUAUUAAAAACACAGCACUGUGCAAACACGAAAGUGGACGUAUACGGUGUGACGCCUGCCCGGUGCCGGAAGGUUAAUUGAU